UUUACUGUAGCUCAGUGGUAGAGUGGUCGGCUGUUAACCGAUUAGUAAUA
rnacentral:tRNA from 1 species